AAACCAUGACUAGGACAUUUCCUCAACAUAAACUUGUAUCGCUCCCAUGCUUCACAAAGUGUUUCAGUGGAGCCUUGAGAAAACAUAGGAAUUGUAGUCUUUACAUCU